rnacentral:rRNA from 1 species
UACGGGGGGGGGCAAGCGUUGUUCGGAAUUACUGGGCGUAAAGGGCUCGUAGGCGGCCAACUAAGUCCGACGUGAAAUCCCCAGGCUUAACCUGGGAACUGCGUCGGAUACUGGAUGGCUUGAAUCCGGGAGAGGGAUGCGGAAUUCCAGGUGUAGCGGUGAAAUGCGCAGAUAUCAGGAAGAACACCAAUGGCGAAAGCAGCUCUCUGGGACGGUACUGACGCUGAGACGCGAAAGCGUGGGGGAGCGAACAGG